UAUACGCGUGGAGGAUAAGGCUUCGGGUUGUAAACUCCUUUUACAGUAAUUGAGAAGUUAUUGAGAAUAAGCACCUGCUAACUCUGUGCCAGCAGCCGCGGUAAUACAGAGGGUGCAAGCGUUAUCCGGAUUUAUUGGGCGUAAAGCGUUUCGUAGGUGACCAGGCAAGUUAUCUUUCAAAGACCACGGCUCAACCCGGGGAAGGGAGGUAAUACUACCUAGUUUGAUUUAUGGUGGGGCUUCUGGAACUGAUGGUGUAGUAGUGAAAUACGUUGAUAUCAUCAGGAACUCCAAGGGCGAAGGCAGGAAGCUAACCAUUUAAUGACACUGAGGAACGACAGCUAGGGGAGCGAAAGGGAUUAGAGACCCCUGUAGUCCUAGCCGUAAACUUUGCUUGCUAGGGGUUGGGUCGUAAGACUUGGCCCCGUAAGCUAACGCGUUAAGCAAGCCGCCUGGGGAGUACGGCCGCAAGGCUAAAACUCAAAGGAAUUGACGGGGACCCGCACAACCAGUGGAGCAUGUGGUUUAAUUCGAGACGAAACGAAGAACCUUUACCAGNCUUGACAUACUACCGUUUUAAGCAUCCAGAACUGGGAGCCUAUCUUUAGAAAAUAUCGAUGGUAGUACAGGUGUUGCGUGGGCGUCGGCAGGUCGUGCGGAAGGGUGUCCCUUCAGUGGGUAACGAGCGAACCUUGGCGAGUUGAUUUCCU
rnacentral:rRNA from 1 species